rnacentral:rRNA from 1 species
AGGACGAACGCUGGCGGCGUGCUUAACACAUGCAAGUCGAGCGGAAAGGCCCUUCGGGGUACUCGAGCGGCGAACGGGUGAGUAACACGUGAGUAAUCUGCCCCUAGCUCUGGGAUAGCUCCGGGAAACCGGGAUUAAUACCAGAUACGACCACUUUAGACAUCUGCUGUGGUGGAAAGAAUUUCGGCUAGGGAUGAGCUCGCGGCCUAUCAGCUUGUUGGUGAGGUAACGGCUCACCAAGGCGACGACGGGUAGCCGGCCUGAGAGGGCGACCGGCCACACUGGGACUGAGACACGGCCCAGACUCCUACGGGAGGCAGCAGUGGGGAAUAUUGCGCAAUGGGCGAAAGCCUGACGCAGCGACGCCGCGUGGGGGAUGAAGGCCUUCGGGUUGUAAACCCUUUCAGCAGGGACGAAGCGAAAGUGACGGUACCUGCAGAAGAAGCACCGGCUAACUACGUGCCAGCAGCCGC